AUUGAACGCUGGCGGCAUGCCUUACACAUGCAAGUCGAACGGUAACAGGUCUUUCGGGAUGCUGACGAGUGGCGAACGGGUGAGUAAUACAUCGGAACGUGCCUAGUAGUGGGGGAUCACUAGUCGAAAGAGUGGCUAAUACCGCAUGAGAUCUAUGGAUGAAAGCAGGGGACCUUCGGGCCUUGUGCUACUAGGGCGGCCGUUGGCAGAUUAGGUAGUUGGUGGGAUAAAAGCUUACCAAGCCUACGAUCUGUAGCUGGUCUGAGAGGACGAUCAGCCACACUGGGACUGAGACACGGCCCAGACUCCUACGGGAGGCAGCAGUGGGGAAUUUUGGACAAUGGGCGCAAGCCUGAUCCAGCAAUGCCGCGUGCAGGAUGAAGGCCUUCGGGUUGUAAACUGCUUUUGUACGGAACGAAAAGUCUUGGGUUAAUACCCUGGGAUCAUGACGGUACCGUAAGAAUAAGCACCGGCUAACUACGUGCCAGCCGCCGCGGUAAGAC
rnacentral:rRNA from 1 species